rnacentral:RNase_P_RNA from 1 species
CGGGCUGGCCGGGCGACCGCGUGAUCCCUUCGGGGGUCCCGAGGAAAGUCCGGGCUCCACAGAGCAGGGUGGUGGGUAACACCCACCCGAGGUGACUCGCGGGACAGUGCCACAGAGAACAGACCGCCGGCCCCACGGGUCGGUAAGGGUGAAACGGUGGGGUAAGAGCCCACCAGUGCCCCGGGCGACCGGGGCAGCUCGGCAAACCCCACCCGGAGCAAGUCCAGACAGUGCACGACGACCUCGGUCGGGAGGGCUGCUCGCCCGAGUGCACGGGUAGGGCGCUGGAGACCGCCGGCAACGACGGCCGUAGAUGGAUGGUCGCCCCCUGGUGACAGGGACAGAACCCGGCUUACAGGCCAGCCCGUCCA